rnacentral:sRNA from 1 species
AGAUCUUCUUUGCUCUUCU